CAAGAAAAGGUCAGGAUAGCUCAGUUGGUAGAGCAGAGGACUGAAAAUCCUCGGUGUCACCAGUUCAA
rnacentral:tRNA from 1 species